UUGAGCAUCAAACUUUUAAAUUGAAGAGUUUGAUCAUGGCUCAGAUUGAACGCUGGCGGCAGGCCUAACACAUGCAAGUCGAACGGUAACAGGAA
rnacentral:rRNA from 1 species